AGAGCGAACGCUGGCGGCAGGCUUAACACAUGCAAGUCGAGCGGAUGUAGCAAUACAUCAGCGGCAGACGGGAGAGGAACACGUGGGAACGCGCCCUUUGGUUCGGAAUAACUCAGGGAAACUUGAGCUAAUACCGGAUAAGCCCUUACGGGGAAAGAUUUAUCGCCAAAGGAACGGCCCGCGUCCGAUUAGCUAGUUGGUGAGGUAAUGGCUCACCAAGGCGACGAUCGGUAGCUGGUCUGAGAGGAUGACCAGCCUCACUGGGACUGAGACACGGCCCAGACUCCUACGGGAGGCAGCAGUGGGGAAUAUUGGACAAUGGGCGUAAGCCUGAUCCAGCCAUGCCGCGUGAGUGAUGAAGGCCUUAGGGUUGUAAAGCUCUUUUAGCAGGAAGAUAAUGACGGUACCUGCAGAAAAGCCCGGCUAACUUCGCGCCAGCAGCCGC
rnacentral:rRNA from 1 species